CAAUAGCGUAUAUUAAAGCUGUUGCGGUUAAAAAGCUCGUAGUUGGAUUUCUGUCAAGUACAACUGGUCCGCCCUCCGGGUGAGCACAUAGUUUGGUCUUGGCAUCUUGCUGGGAAUUGUUGCUGCACUUGGCUGUGUGGCGCAGUGCCCAGCACUUUCACUUUGAGGAAAUUGGAGUGUUUCAAGCAGGCAAUGCCUUUGAACACAGUAGCAUGGAAUAAUUAGAUUGGGCUUUUGCUCCAAUUUGUCGGUUUCUGGAGCUGAGGUGAGAAUUAAUGGGGAUUGUUGGGGGCAUCCGAAUUUAGCCGUCAGAGGUGAAAUUCUUGGAUCUGCUAAAGACGGACAACUGCGAAAGCGUUUGCCCAGGAUGUUUNCAUUG
rnacentral:rRNA from 1 species